UUUAAACCAUGAGGGGCUGGGCAUGCAGAGCCCACUAUAAAUACUCUGUUUCCUGAGUUAAAAAGCUCCCUUCUUUUGCUUGUUUGUAAAGAUAUAAAAUACCUUAAAAUCAGAGAGCAAAAGUAGCCAUUAAGACUCAAGAAAGCAGUUCACCUUAUGCAUGAAUGAAGUGCUAUUUCAGCUGAGACAAGCUUUCUGUGGAGGAGCAGAGUGGUUCUGCCAGGAUUCCUGCAGAGUCUCCUUGUGGGUCCAGACAUUUCCAGAUCUAGAGAUCUAUAUAGCUAACCUCACCUAACUUGCCUAAUGUCUCCUCUAUUUGCUGAAGACCCAGGCCUGUGGGAUAUCCAACAGAUGUAGCGUAGCUUCCCAGGCUGGAAUAUCCUCUUCUCUCUCUAGUCCCUCCUCCCUCUGCAGUGCAUUUGCUGACUUGCUCUUUAACAGGGACUUCAGUUGAAAGUUUCAUAGUAGGUUUACAGUCAGAUCGUAUGGCUUUGUGUUGGUUCCACAUUUGGGUAGAGUGAAACUGCUACAGAAUGAAAGAAAUUGAGGCAAUUCUAUGGAGUCAGGAAAAUUGUCCUGAUAACUGCAGAAACUCAUGGUCCUAGCGUUUCCACAUCCAAUGUGUCCACAGACCUGUGUUCAAAUUUAAAAAUCUCUCAGAUGAUUCAGACGCCCUGCGACCCUGAUAUUAGUGGCACCAAGGAAAGCUCACACAGUCUCUUGAUGUGGGCAAACUAUAUUCUCCAAAGCACCUGGUCACUGGUCUUUCGAUGGGCAAGUGACCGACCCUAUGCUGACAUUUCUCUACCUCUAGAUUAAAAUUUUGAUGAGCUGGAGUUUAUUUACUAGAAACUGCUUUAGGUUGAGGUUUAUGGAAAACUACAAUUCUCUCUGAAAGACUGCCCUGCUGCUCUGUCCUUCCAAUAGUCACUAUCCUAAGGGGAGAGAGGCAAUCAGGCCAGACGCUUCCGUGUUCCAUAUCACCCACCGAUCCAGCCUGCUGGAUGUUUAUGGAGAGGCCUGAGUCAUGUGCAGCGUGAGGGCCUUGGUAGCAAACAAUAGAUCCCCACCUCCUUGAAUUUAUGACAAGCUCGGGCAGCCAUUGUAAUCAUCUCUCUGAAAAUUAUUAGCACUGUAAGUGACUUUAACUGCCCAUGUUUCCUCCAGUAUGAGUACCUGACUGCUUUACAGUUCUUUGCAUUACUACAGACAUGCCCAUUAUUUAUUGCCAUGUAACCUUCACUGUGCCAGGACAAGGUACCAAGAGCUGUAUUACCAGUGGAAGCAGUACAGUGGAUCAAAUGUGAACCCUGUAAGGUGAUGACCCUGAGAGGCAAGCAGUGUUCAUUCCAAGCUUAGCUGGCAUAUAUACGAUGUUUAAGACAAAUGAAGGGCAGAUGAAAAGCCUAUCUACACAUAUCUACCCAUUUGCUACUGCUUAGAUGUGAAAAUUGAGUAGUUAUCUCCAUGUGCACUUUCAAACUCCAGGUUUGGGCUAACAGUAAAACUUUUUGCAUUCUUGAGUAUUGUUACACCUUAGCAUGCCACAUUAAGGUCACCUUGAUUGUCCUAAACAGAGCACACUCACUAACAGGCUCUGAGACAAUUUGGGUUAUAACCUGUUUUUGGAGCCUGAUUUUGGCCCGAUUUUGGCAAUAGUAAAAGAAAAGUGAGUAAGAAAGUGGCCUCAGCUGUUAGCUUCUGAAGUGAGAAUGCUUUGAAUAUAGAAUACUAGAAACCACAUAACAUGGGCAAGCUCUUAAGGGCAGCCUGCCUCACAGCACCUUCCACUGCGCACACGCGCGCACGCACACACACACACACACACACACACACACACACACACGCACACACACACACAGGAACGCAUGCAUGCAUGCAGGGACCCAUGCUUGUCUGAUUGGCAGGCUCAUCUGCUCAUCUGCAUAGGUCCAGGGCCAGCAUCUGAACAGGUAAAGAACAUAUAGCAACCACCUUCAUGUGGGCUAUAUGGAAGACCCCAAAACAUUUACCACUUGUUGAGUGCACACCAAGGUGUGAUGGUUUUUCUAUUUCCUGGAGAAGGGCCUGAUAACAGCAGCUCAUCUACUUGGUAGUAGACAGGCUACAAUUCUACAACAUUCACUGCCUUUAGGUGCUCAGAGUAGUUUUCUGUGUACAUUGAGAUCGUGAAGUUUGACCUGGAUGCCGAAAAGUUCAGCUAUCUCCCGAAGUUAUCAGCCCUCCUGGCUGUAGUACCUAAACUGCACACUGUGGGCUAUCUGUUAUGUCCCAUUGGAUAUAUGCUGGCUGAGAUCUGUGCUCAUGCCUGCUUGACUAGUACCACUAAUGAGAAUUCUUCCACAGACCAUGGGCCCGGGCAAAAGUUCAAACUCAAAAUUUGCAGUGUUUUUCUCCUGUCCUCCUGUCCUUUCAUGCAGCCUUCCUGAAAAUCCCACAUCCCAUUUCUUGAACAAAGGUAGCCUUGGCACUAUGUAUAUUAGAGUGGUCUCAGACUCAUAGAGAUCCACCUGACUCUACCUCCUGAGUGCUGGGAUUAAAAGUAGGUGACAUCACACUUAGACUUUGUGCUACUCACUUCAGUGCAGUUCUAUUUUCUGGACCCCCCAGCCUCCACUCAGGAAGGCAUAUCAUUGCAACAUGGGCUCUGGAAGUUGCCUGGAAAUCCAUGCUUGUGACUGUACAUAGCUGUAAAUUGCUGUGAAUUCUACCCACUUGAGUGACAAUUUAGCUGGAUAUAUAACUGAGCUGGGACCUUUUCCUUACUUUCUUACAACUUUUCUCAUGCAUUUCUCACUUCCAACACUUAUUAGUUCAGCAUCAGGAAUACUUAGUUAAUUUCAGUGACCAUUUCCUUCUCUCUAGGAUCAUUUUUCCUGGUAUUCUAAACUGCCAAACUGAAAGUCCUUGCUAUUCAACUGUUGAACAAAUUUUCCACUGGCUCUCAUUUAUGAGUGUGUGUGUGUAUGUGUGUGUGUGUGUGUGUGUGUGUCCACUUCUUGCCCUUUGUCACACUUUAAGAGAUUUUUCCUUAGCCAUUCUCCAAGCCCUUUAUGGGAUUUAAUUCUGAGUACCACACUGCUCUAUUUCCAAGGACUCUUCUUGUUCUCUCACUGCUAUGUAUUUACUUCCUUGUUUUGCUUUAGACAACUAAUUUCACUUUUUAGCUCUCUGAAAAUAUUAAUUGCAAAAUUUAAAAAAUGUUCUUUAUCCUACCUAUGACUAUAGCCCAGACCCAUUGCAAGGGCUUCGCCAUUUGGUUCAGGUCUCAUUUUGGGCUCAGGUUUGGUUGGUCAGGCAAUUGCUGGAUGUUACUUAACAUUUAAGAACACAACAAGGCUGACAGGUAUAUGGGACUAAUGCUCAUGGGAUUUUCAUGGAUUUCUUUCAGGCUACAGUGCCUGUGCUACAACCCUCUCUGGUCUUCUCACAUCUUUGUGAAUCUCACCGUCAUUGUUUCUGGUGUCUCCAUGUCCUUUUUUUCUGUUCCUUUAUGGCUUUCUUUUUACCUCUUAUUGUAAUAUUAAAAAUGUUUUUAGGAUAGAACUAAGGUAGUGGCAAUACUUUAGAUGCAUGUGUCACUGAAAAUAUUUCUUCUUAUCAUAAAUGUCAUUCUAGUCAGGCUGGGAACCCAGAAUGAUGCUGAGACCAGGAUUAAGUACAGACAGCAAUGUGAAGGUGGUCCCAGAAAAGGCCACUGAGAAUGUAGAGGCAGGAAAGGUAAGCAAAAGGGCUGGUGUAGGAUAAGAAGGCAUGGUACGAUGGUUUGUAUAUUCUUGGCUCAUAGUGUGGCACUAUUAGGAGGUGUGGCCUUUUUGGAGCAGGUGUAGCCUUGUUGGAGUAGAUGUGUCACUGUGGGCAUGGGCUUUAAACCCUCUUUCUAGCUACUUGGAAGCCAGUCUUCUCCUAGCUGCCUUUGGAACAAGAGGUGGGGCUCUCAGCUCCUCCAGUCCUAUGCCUCCCUGGAUGCUGCCAUGCUCUGGCCUUGAUGGUAAUGGACUCAACCUCUGAAUCUGUCAGCCAGCCACAAUUAAAUGUUGUCCUUAAUAAGAGUUGCCUUGGUCAUGGUGUCUGUUCCCAGCAAUACAACUCUAACUAAAAUGUAUGGCCAUGUAGAUUUUACUAAAGAUCUAUGUAAAAUUCCUUGAGAUAUUCCUUAAAGGCCAACCUCUAGGACGUUCAGGUCAGUUCCCUAUAUCACUGCUGUGGACAAGCCCCUUCUCAGAGCUUACUCCCCCAAAUAUUUGCCCUCCCCAUCCAUGACCAGUCACUCUGCUAUGAGCUUUCCAGCAGUCAUAGGUCCUUUGCAAUGAGAACCUCAAAAGCCAAUGCAUGUGGAUGUCAACACUGAUACCAUCUGCUGUGUCAAAAAAUGUUUCAUGUUAUUUCCAUGACCUCCCACAUCCCAAUCUGCUGACUGAUAGAUCACAUUGGAUUGCUUUCUAUUAGAAAAAUGCUUCAGCUAUGCCCGAUGUGACUCACAAAAAGUCCUUUUGCUUGAUGUGGUGAUACAUUUUUAUAAUCUCAGCUCAUAAGACUGGGGUAGAGGGAUCAGGAGUUGACACUAUCCAGAGCUAUAUAAUGAGUCUUUUUUUUUUCCUUAGUGAUUAAGCUUACUGUUCCUAGAACCAACAAUGUUGUAGGUGAGGUUGGAUAGGUUCAAGAGCAUGAUGCAAUCAGAAAGCUCUCCCGGUUUAUCUUUUGCUUUGUAGACAUCUAUGGGUGUGGGAAGGGUUAGAGCUAGGAGAUAGAGCACUGCAGAGUGCAGUAAGUAAGGGCAACCUUAGAAUUGAAAAACGAAAAUGUAAGAGGGUUCAAGGUGCAAGUUAAUUGACAGGUGUCAGCUGGAUCUUACCAUUCACUUUUACUUGGACAAGUGUCCAGUUAUUAAUUCCUCCCGUUGUAAGCCUCUGGUUUCCUAGUCAACUACUUGUUUUUUAAUGUAAACUAAGAACUGUGUUACCUGCUCAUAUUUUUCCCCCACUGAUGACUUCCCUGUGGGUAUAGAGAGGACUGACCUUCUUAAUUAUCUGUUACUAUACUAAGUGAGUCCACAGACAUUGAACUAUAUCUGUGAUUUUUAGAGUCAGGAAUUCAGGUCAGACCAUCUAACUUCUAUUAAUUUGGUAUUAAAUAGGGUCGCUUAGUAUCUAACUGGUGGGUGUGCUCUUCUGAAGAAUCCAAGAUGGCUUCAUCAGUGCCUUACAUCUUUCCCUGUCCAAUAUGAUGGCCCUUGAUAGCUGCACUCCCUGAGUGGCACCUCAGGGCUCCAUAUGAGAGGCAAGAAAAAGGAAACUCAACAGAGGACUCAGAGCAUACCCUUUCCUGUGUCCUUUUGGUUACAAGCUAGUCACUGGAGCCAACACAGGUUUUGGCAAGAGAACAUAGUUGGGAGGCAUGUCAACAAUCACCCACAAUGAUGUCUCCUUCCUCGGCAUCUCCUUUCCACACACAUGGCCAUGAUCUAGCGUCUUUAUGAGGAUGUAUUCCCAACUCAUUGCUGGUCUUCUAAUUUGAGUAGCUGAGAAAGUUUCCCUUGCUUUAAAUACAUGUCAAAACAACUCCAAGCCCAGAAAAAGUAUGCUGCUUCAAAACAGCUUAAUAUGUCCAAUUACUGUGCAUUAAUAAAUGAUUCUUUUUAAAGUCCUACUUUCCCUUAUGCCAUUAUCACUAUGGUUUACUCAGGCUCAGGUUUUAUUCUUUGUCACUCAGGAGCAGGGUAGCCUGCUAUACUUAGAGCAUUUAGAUAAAUUCUGGGUGGGGCAAGAUUUUACCAACAAACCCAUGAUUUCUUGCCACUUAUUCAUUUAUUCAUUUAGUUUUCAUGAAGAAAGACAUUUGUGACAUUUUGUAUAGUUCUGGUCAUGGUCUCAAGAUAGUGUUUGAGACAAUUAAGCUUUUAGCAGAGCUUCUCUACAGGGAAGUAAAAUGGACAAAAUGUAACAUGUUGAUUUUUGAAUAAAGUCGUGAUCAAAUACAAAGAACCUAGAGUAGCAAGGAGGCACAUUAAAAGCAAAUGUGAAAAGAAUAUAAGAAAGAAGAGUCAGGCCAUGGCAGCUCAAUGGCCUUGAGGCCAAUGUAAUCUCUCAGAGGUACAAGGUGCACUCGGUUUCAAGGAACUUGUGUUUGUUUUCAUAUGAAAACAUACACAUUAUGAAAUAGCCAAUUUAAAUAUGAAUUGCAACCUGACUACUUACCCACUUUGGUUGACAUCAGCAUGUAAGGCAGUCACCAAUCCCAGCUUGGCAACCACGCCAGAACAUGAGUCUCAAGAUCCUCUGCUAAUGCUAGGAGCAAGCUUUGUUCUUGGAGAAUUCACAUAAUAUUCAGAGCUGACUUAUUUUUUAAUUUUUUUAUAAUUCAAGUGAAACAAGGAUGGAAAGGAUGGUGCUCCACCAGGCUGCCUGUGUGUGUGUGUGUGUGUGUGUGUGUGUGUGUGUGUGUGUGUGUGUGUGUUCGUCAAAGCCAGCCUUGCUUGCACCUAGCUCUGAAGAAGCCCCAAUUCAGGAGCCCAUAAUGGAGACCCAAAGUUAGAUACAAAGCUUAUGGGCCUUUGACAGCUGUGGUCAGCUGAACCUGGUACAAGCUAAGCAAAGUGUCAAUUUGGAAUGCAGCCUGUGGUGUUGUAUCUUUCUAUUUUUAAAUGUAGUAUCUUCUAGAAGGUAGAAGCAACAUCAUAGAAAUGCUUAACUUUUGUGGAAUUGAUUUUUGCAUGCCAUCAAAUGGCAAAUGGAGGGUGAGAAAAAAAAUAAGACAGUCACAGAACCAGGAGUUUCUAAGAGUGAUACUUGUGCUACUGUCCCUUACCCAGUGCCUGCUCUUACUCCUGUAUAUACUGACCUCAUGUUGGCUUAGUAGAAACUGUGAUUGCAUAGCUCAGAUGACUGGUGGAGAAGUCUACCUGGAUAUUUCCAUAUCCAGGGUAGCCCACCAGUGCCUCCUGCAUAAAAUAUGUGAAAGAUGAAUAUGUCCCCCAGGAAGGAAUGACUACUUACUCUUAAAAAUGUUUUUAUUGAUUUUUUAAAAAUUUCAUAUAAUUUAUUUCAACUAGAUUCAUCCCUCUCCCCCAAGUUCUCCCAGGACUUGAAUUGUAUUGUUUAUACUUUUUGUUUUCGAAGAGUUUUCUGUUUUCAAGGGUCUUACUUAGAAUGAUGUUCUCCUGUGAAAGAAUCCAGUUUGUAUUCCACUGAGAUGGCACCUGACCUAGCCUUCCAAUAGAAAUCAUGUAGGUGCUGUGCAGUGUGCAUCCAGGAAACAGGUCUGGGCCCUGUGGCUGAAUUUCCAAUGCUUUGAUGUGGAGAGAAGGUAACUUGGUCAUUGAAGAGAGAGCCCAUGCAUAAAACCAGAAAUUCAGAAGAGUAUCCUCUCUAUGCAAAGGGCUAAAAACUCUUCCUCUAUACUGCAGAAAUCUGCAAGCUCUCUGUUUGCCCUGGCCCUUGAGUAAGCAAUCAAACCAAGGCCAGGCUAAUCAGAGGUGUGGGCUCUGCUUAUUAUAUUCAGGGUACAAGUGCCCUGCUGAGAAAUUAAAAUACAAAUGGAUUUAGCACUCAAGUGGAAAAAAUAAAACGACAAAGAUGGUCUCUAAGGACAUGACAAUCCUCAGCUAUGGCUCAUGGGUUUUGAGCAGAGGAAAAAAAAUGAACCUGGCUCUAUUUCUCUAUUUAGACCCACAAUAGGAAAUUAUAAACUGCAGGGUACACCAGAGGUAGGUGAGAAUACCACCGAAGCAGAAUUGUUACCUCCAGAAUCAUGUCCCUUCAAAGCAAUUCUAUUUUAAUCUAGCUGUAGAAAUCUAAGAGAGUACAGUUGUAGAGUUUGCAGAAUCUGGACAAGAGGUCUAUGGCAAUCUAAUGUUCACAACAACUUAAAUAAUUUCAGUGAUUAAGAGGGAACAGAAAGCUAUAAUUAAUUUAUAGUGGGUAAUAGGUCACAUUAAAACAUGAAACAAAAUCUAGAAUAGAAAGCAGCAAGAAUUUUCAAAAGCUGAAGAAUAGAACCAGUAUGGUUGCAAAGCAGAUGAUUCAUUUGAUACAGAUGAAGAAAGAAUUUGUGUUCUGGAAGACAGAUUUAAAAAUAUCAGCAAGGCAGGCAUAGAAAAGAACAGAAAUGAGGACCUCUAAGGAAAUGUAGCACACAGUGAGAGAAUGGAGACAGUAGGGUAGAAAAUAUUCAAAGCAAUGGCAGAGGACUAUCGUAACUGAAUCAGGAGAUGAGUUCUAAGUAAACCAGAGGGGCUCACUUAGUCCUGAAUAGAAUAAAUGAGAGUUAAGACAUGGAGACAGCAUGGUGGAACUGCCGAACAAAGCCAGGAAGAACCAUCAAAGGCUCAGUUCAAAGGCCUUCCUAUCCUUGCUUUACUAUUGACCACUCAUCAACCCCACACAUUCAACUACCAUCUCCAUGAACUGAACCUCUGCUUCCUAACUCCAGCCUCACACAUAUACACCACUACUUGAUUACUUUGCCAAAAUCACAGCUAAACUUGUAAUCAUCCUAGCUGGCCACUGGCAAUAUUGGCAUUCUUGUUUACCACCCUUUCACUUGCUGAUCUGUCACAAUGACCAACAGCUUUAAAUUCAGACUCCACUUUGUUUCUCUCAGAUUCAUCUAGGCAGUUUCCUCUGGUCUGUCCACAUCUGGCUGCACUGGAGAAGACUACAAAAAGGUACACAUCUUAUUAUCAUUUCCUUUCCUACCUUCUCUUGCCUCUUCUCAGAACAUCCCUCAAUUUUAGGGGUCUCCAAGGCCUUCAAGCUUUGUUUCAUGCGUCCCUGUUCCAGUUCUUUUUUUCCCAGCCUCACUGGCCACUUCUCUAGGAUCCUCAUCUAACCUUAGUGCAUUUGACCAAUCUCCCCGGAAGGAUGUCUCCCAGUCUCAACACAAGUGAACUCUUUCUUAUCCAAUACUUCUAGUCAUACUGCUUCCUUGCUCACAUGUUAAUUGUCAAUAGUUAGCAUAGUACCUUGCUCAUGGGUGACACUGAACAAUAUUCCUUUAAUGAAGGGUUUUCCCAAUUCUUAUUUUACAGCUGCAUCAAAUCAUCUAAGCCAUUUUUCCCGACAUGAGUUAAAAAGUAUGGUAAUGAAAGAAUAACAUAGGUGCUGGCCUUGUCAGUGAUGACUAUCCUAGAGCUGACUGUGGAAAUGGAAUUUGUUACCAGUGGCUUAUUUUCUAUGUCGCUGUCCCUAUCUUCAAUACUUCUUCAAUAAUAAUUUCAGAUAUUUGUCUUGUCUUAUACUGGCUUGCUUAGCAAAGGUGCUAGGUUUUAACCUACUUUACUUGCUCUGUACCUGCAGCCAGGAUAUAGGUAUGUUGGGCUUUUGCUGGACACAUAUCUAGCCUGCGAUUUCUUCCCUAGAAACUCAUUGCUUGCUAAAGGUGGCAGAGUCUACUAGCCAGAUUCAUACCCCUCUGAACCCACUCUUUUGGGGGUCUCAUGUUUGUCUUUAUUUACUUGCAGCAAGAGGUCCUGUCUUAAAAUAACGUGAAAUUUGUGAUGACACCUUAGCAGCAAGGGAGCCAGGUGUCAGAAUUUAUUUGACAGGUGAAAUAAAACUGAAGGAGGACCCCCUGGUAAGCACAGUGUUCUUUGUGUCCUCAGGUUUCUGCUGAGGACACAUCUACGAGAGAAAAGGCUGUAAAUCACAAACCCACAUAAAGUUCAUCUCUUACUAGAAAAUACUCACCUCAGAAGAAGAGCUUUAGUAGGUAGUUUUGCCAUUCAUUCCAUUGAGUAAUGAACACUGAGCCAUGUGGAGAGGACUACCGUUUGCUAUGCCUGUGGGCACUGCACUCCUUCCCUGUGUAGUCUCCUGUGUUCCCUAUUUGGAAGCAGAAUGCAAAAGUACAGGCAUCAAGAUAUAGCUAGUUUGCAUGGAUCUCUUUCUUUGGAAUACAAAAUCUAACUUCUACAUUUUCAAAUAUACAAA